rnacentral:rRNA from 1 species
AAGCCUGAUCCAGCCAUGCCGCGUGAAGGAAUAAGGUCCUAUGGGUCGUAAACUUCUUUUGACGCAGAGCAAUAAGGAACACGUGUGUUCCGAUGAGAGUAUGCGUCGAAUAAGCAUCGGCUAACUCCGUGCCAUCAGCCGCGGUAAUACGGAGGAUGCGAGCGUUAUCCGGAUUUAUUGGGUUUAAAGGGUGCGUAGGCUGUUGGAUAAGUCAGCGGUGAAAUCACCACGCUUAACGUGUUGUGUGCCGUUGAAACUGUCCAGCUGGAAUGCGCUCGUCGUGAGAGGAAUGUGUGGUGUAUCGGUGAAAUGCAUAGAUAUCACACAGAACACCGAUUGCGAAGGCAUCUCACGAGAGCGUUAUUGACGCUGAUGCACGAAAGCGCGGGUAUCGAACAGGAUUAUAUACCCUGGUAGUCCGCGCUGUAAACUAUGAUGACUAACCGUUG